rnacentral:rRNA from 1 species
GACGAACGCUGGCGGCGUGCUUAACACAUGCAAGUCGAGCGGAGCGGCGAACGGGUGAGUAACGCGUGAGUAACUGCCCCCCUCUCUGGGAUAACAGUUGGAAACGGCUGCUAAUACCGGAUAGUGGGGGAUGACUCGCGUCCUAUCAGCUUGUUGGUGGGGUAGUGGCAUAUCAAAGCGACGACCGGUAGCCGGCCUGAGGGGGCGACCGGCCACAUUGGGCUGAAAUACCGCCCCAACGCCUACGGGAGGCAGCAGUGGGGAAUAUUGCACAAGGGGGGAAGCCCUGAUGCAGCGACGCCGCGUGCGGGAUGACGGCCUUCGGGUUGUAACCCGCUUUCAGCCAUGACGCGGUAGUGGCAGAAGAAGCACCGGCUAACUACGUGCCAGCAGCCGCGGUAAUUC